GGAUGUGAAGGCUACCUGGCUAUGACAUCUGUCACCUCACACUAAUCAUGAGGGUUGAUUUAGCUGAUUUGGCUGGAUAGGUGGGUGUCCUCUUCCUCCUUCCCUGCUCUAUGUGUGUCCCUCUCGAAGCUACAUGCUCAGUUGAAGAGGACAACUUUCCUGAAUAGAAAUGGACUGGUCUUUGGUUGAGGAUAUAGCUGCACUCCCCUGCUAGAACCUCCAAACAAACUCAGUGGUAUUAGAGAGCUUAUACUGGUGAUGGGAGUGAUGUAUAUAUCUAUCUAUCAUGAUAAUAGAAGAAAUUGGACUCAUGUGACAACAACUGUCCU
ensembl:misc_RNA 7SK 7SK RNA